rnacentral:rRNA from 1 species
AGUGAACGCUGGCGGUAGGCCUAACACAUGCAAGUCGAACGGCAGCACAGUAAGAGCUUGCUCUUACGGGUGGCGAGUGGCGGACGGGUGAGGAAUACAUCGGAAUCUACUUUUUCGUGGGGGAUAACGUAGGGAAACUUACGCUAAUACCGCAUACGACCUACGGGUGAAAGCAUGGGAUCUUCGGACCUUGCGCGAUUGAAUGAGCCGAUGUCGGAUUAGCUAGUUGGCGGGGUAAAGGCCCACCAAGGCGACGAUCCGUAGCUGGUCUGAGAGGAUGAUCAGCCACACUGGAACUGAGACACGGUCCAGACUCCUACGGGAGGCAGCAGUGGGGAAUAUUGGACAAUGGGCGCAAGCCUGAUCCAGCCAUACCGCGUGGGUGAAGAAGGUCUUCGGGUUGUAAAGCACUUUUGCUGGGAAAGAAAAGCAGCAGGUUAAUACCCCGCUGUUCUGACGGUACCAAAAGAAUAAGCACCGGCUAACUUCGUG